UACGUAGGGUGCAAGCGUUGUCCGGAAUUAUUGGGCGCAAAGGGCUCGUAGGCGGUCCAUCACGUCGGGAGUGAAAAGCUGGGGCUUAACCCCAGUCCUGCUUCCGAUACGGGUGGACUAGAGGUAGGUAGGGGAGAGUGGAAUUCCUGGUGUAGCGGUGAAAUGCGCAGAUAUCAGGAAGAACACCCGUGGCGAAGGCGGCUCUCUGGGACGGUACUGACGCUGAGACGCGAAAGCGUGGGGAGCGAACAGG
rnacentral:rRNA from 1 species